rnacentral:rRNA from 1 species
AUUGAACGCUGGCGGCAUGCCUUACACAUGCAAGUCGAACGGUAACGGGCCUUCGGGUGCCGACGCGUGGCGAACGGGUGCGUAAUACAUCGGAACGUGCCCGAUCGUGGGGGAUAACGAGGCGAAAGCUUUGCUAAUACCGCAUACGAUCUACGGAUGAAAGCAGGGGACCGCAAGGCCUUGCGCGGACGGAGCGGCCGAUGGCAGAUUAGGUAGUUGGUGGGAUAAAAGCUUACCAAGCCGACGAUCUGUAGCUGGUCUGAGAGGAUGAUCAGCCACACUGGGACUGAGACACGGCCCAGACUCCUACGGGAGGCAGCAGUGGGGAAUUUUGGACAAUGGGCGCAAGCCUGAUCCAGCCAUGCCGCGUGCAGGAUGAAGGCCUUCGGGUUGUAAACUGCUUUUGUACGGAACGAAAAGCCUUCCUUUAAUACAGGAGGGUCAUGACGGUACCGUAAGAAUAAGCACCGGCUAACUACGUG